CAGCAGCCGCGGUAAUACGUAGGGUGCGAGCGUUACUCGGAUUUACUGGGCGUAAAGCGUGCGCAGGCGGCCCGUUAAGACAGGUGUGAAAUCCCUGGGCUCAACCUAGGAAUUGCGCUUGUGACUGGCGGGCUCGAGUACGGUAGAGGGGGGUGGAAUUCCUGGUGUAGCAGUGAAAUGCGUAGAGAUCAGGAGGAACACCGAUGGCGAAGGCAGCCCCCUGGGCCUGUACUGACGCUCAUGCACGAAAGCGUGGGGAGCAAACAGGAUUAGAUACCCUGGUAGUCCACGCCCUAAACGAUGGGUACUAGCCGUUUGGUGCGCGAUAGCGCUGAGUGGCGAAGCUAACGCGUGAAGUACCCCGCCUGGGGAGUACGGCCGCAAGGUUGAAACUUAAAGGAAUUGGCGGG
rnacentral:rRNA from 1 species